UACGUAGGGGGCUAGCGUUGUCCGGAAUCAUUGGGCGUAAAGAGCGUGUAGGCGGCCCGGUAAGUCCGCUGUGAAAGUCGGGGGCUCAACCCUCGAAUGCCGGUGGAUACUGUCGGGCUAGAGUGCGGAAGAGGCGAGUGGAAUUCCUGGUGUAGCGGUGAAAUGCGCAGAUAUCAGGAGGAACACCGGUGGCGAAGGCGGAUCUCUGGGCCGAUACUGACGCUGAGGAGCGAAAGCGUGGGGAGCGAACAGG
rnacentral:rRNA from 1 species